UACGAAGGGGGCUAGCGUUGUUCGGAAUCACUGGGCGUAAAGGCGCGUAGGCGGCCGAUCAAGUCGGGGGUGAAAGCCUGUGGCUCAACCACAGAAUUGCCUUCGAUACUGUUUGGCUUGAGACCGGAAGAGGUUAGUGGAACUGCGAGUGUAGAGGUGAAAUUCGAUAGAUAUUCGGAAGAACACCAGUGGCGAAGGCGGCUCACUGGCCCGUUACCGACGCUCAGGCGCGACGAGCGUGGGGAGCAAACAGG
rnacentral:rRNA from 1 species